CGCGUAGGUGGCUUUGUAAGUUUGCGGUGAAAGCCCGGGGCUCAACCCCGGGUCUGCCGUGGAUACUGCAAGGCUUGAGUACUGUAGAGGCAGGUAGAAUAUCGGGUGUAGCGGUGGAAUGCGUAGAGAUCCGAUAGAAGACCGGUGGCGAAGGCGGCCUGCUGGGCAGUAACUGACACUGAGGCGCGACAGCGUGGGGAGCAAACAGGAUUAGAUACCCUGGUAGUCCACGCCGUAAACGAUGGGUACUAGGUGCUUCGGGGAGCGACCCCUGGAGUGCCGGCGCUAACGCAGGAAGUACCCCGCCUGGGGAGUACGGCCGCAAGGCUGAA
rnacentral:rRNA from 1 species